CCACAGCAUGACGGAGGAGCGCGGUGUGGAUUUGAGCGGCGGUUUGGAGGAUGUUCCUGUUUUAUGUGAAGCUCUGACACGUCCGACAUUCAAGUCAGAUGUCCCUGGAAUCCCCAUGACAACCGGCGGUGUGUACAGGAGGUGAUUUGGACAGAGACUGGCUGAUUCGGGAGGCGCGCGAAUGCCGAUCUCAGAUCUGCCCGGCAGAACGGCUGCAAACAAGAGCGGCUCCUCUCCAGCUCUGUCACCUAGCAACCGGCACUUAAUCACAGGAGGUGAACUUCCCUGCAAAACUCCCUGUGUACCCCCCCCCCCUGCCCAAAAUCCAACACGAGAAUAAGGAAAAUGAAAUGUGUUCAGAGCAGGAGGGUGUUUUAGUCAGGAUGUGAUUGGAUUUUGAGAGGCGCAGCGGUUCUGCUCUGGCCUUUGCUAAAUAUCAUUUUCAAUGAAAAUGUUUUCAUUGUUGGUACUCGGUGGAGUUGUCGUAAUAUAAUCUUCUCAUACCAAAAGUGACAGGUACUCACGUUUUGCUGUGUUCCCUUUAAACCACACUUACUGUGGUUUGAAAACCUGCCCAGAGCCUUUUAGUCAUAAACCCUUGAACUUUUCCACACUUUUUUUCCAGAUUGCAGCUACAACCUUUUGUGUCUUUUAUUGAAAUUUAAUGAAAUAGACCAACACAUAGAAGUGCGUAAUUGGGAAGUGGACAAUUGUUUUCAUGAUUUGUUUUAAAAAAAAAAAAAAAUCUGUGUGGUAUGCAUUUAAGUCAGUACAGCUGUAUGUGUUCAACCAGUUUAAAGAUUGAAAUUGUUGUUCAUUCUUCAUAAUACAAAGAACACAAUGGACAACGCUGAGCAUCCUCCUUAUGAGACUUUUACACAACUAUAAUGUCUUUCAGUCAGAGACUUCAUCAGACUUGCUGGAAUACAGACUGCUACAGGAGAUCUUUCCUGCCCAAAGACAUAAGCAUCAACUUUAACUUUCUCCACGACAUUUUAUACAGUGUGUUUUGUUUUGUUUUUAUGAUGCUGUUUGUUCACUGAAGUUCUCUUUACGAAUCUUUAGAGUCUUCAGAUUACAGCUGGAUUUCGACUGACAUGAAAUUACACCAACUCUGUUCAUUAAUAAGGUGGCUUCUGUUGGUACCGGAUUCAAUUUAAUAAAUUAUAAACCUAACUGAAUUUGCUUGGAGCUGUAAGAACUGAAAUCCAGGAAUGGCCGCAUUAAAAAAAAAAAGCAAUUAAUGCAUCACAUGAAAUGAUCGUAUGGCUAAAUAUUAAUUGAUUGGGCUUAAUCAAACUUUGCCACUAUGUCUUUUCAAACUACGUUUCAAAGGGGUACAGAUGACAAGAUGCAGCUUGAUUAUGUGUCACAUUGAUAAAGGGCCCUGACUAUUUCGGGGUGAGUGACCAGCGGAGAAAUUACUACUUUCAGUCGAUUUGUUCUAAACUGGAGCACGUCUCUGAUGAGGGAGCAGAUGUCCUUGCCUUGAAUCCUGCAGCCAAAUUAAAAAAAGAAAAAAAAAAACUGAAGGCUUAUUUUCAGGGUCUCGGCUGGCGAA